rnacentral:rRNA from 1 species
CCGAUGGAGGGGGAUAACUACUGGAAACGGUAGCUAAUACCGCAUAACGUCGCAAGACCAAAGAGGGGGACCUUCGGGCCUCUUGCCAUCGGAUGUGCCCAGAUGGGAUUAGCUAGUAGGUGGGUAACGGCUCACCUAGGCGACGAUCCCUAGCUGGUCUGAGAGGAUGACCAGCCACACUGGAACUGAGACACGGUCCAG